AAGGCUGUAGCGCAGUGGUCGUCGCGCCCACGCAUGCUGGAGGACGUCGGUUCGAAUCCGACCAGCCUUGCCA
rnacentral:tRNA from 1 species